rnacentral:lncRNA from 1 species
GUCUGCUUUUAUUUUGGGAGAUUGGAACUCCUGAAAAAUGAGGCCUAGCUGGAAAAGAGACCACUGGGGACAGACCUCUCUGAUGCUACAACACAGCCCAAGCUCCCAUAGUUGGUGCCAUGAAGAGAGCUUCACAGAGCUGACCUGCCUUCUCCACCACAGUGGGCUAAACCAUUGGAAAUCCCGAGCCAGGAGCAAUCCUGGUCCUCAAGUUGCUUCUGUCUGUCAUUCUGCCACAGCAAUGAGAAAAUCAGCAAUAACUGAAGCAGCAAGCCUUUGUUCUGCGGAAGCUCGUUUCACUUCUCGUAAAGAGCAAAACUGCCUCGGGACAGCGUCGGAGCACUGGAGAUCCCAUUUAACGUUGAUGGCAGCUCUUGUUCUUAUUUUUAAUUAAUUAUGUGUAUGGGUGUUUUGUUUGCAUGCAUAUCUGUGUACCUCAUGUGUGCCCAGAGAUGCCCAGAAGAGGGAGUCAGCAUCAAAGCCCCUGGCUAACAUGUCUCAGCAGUUAAAAAUAUAGCUGUUGCUUUUAAAUGUCCCUUGUUUUUCUAGAUGAAGGCUAUCAGUGAUGACUAGCUGUGGCCAAAUGGUGGUCUAAUGUUUCAUUGCUCGCUUGAGCCAUGGCUGGUGAGCCAGCUGGGUCCUUGGCAUCUUGGGGAUCCUAUGCUCAUGUCUGCGACCCAGGCUUCCACCUUCCUGCUGGGUUUGUCUAGUGGGGAGAACGGAGAAGUCUAUGAUGAUUUCUUUAUCUCUAGUCUGGUCUCCACAGCUGCAUCUCUCCCUUUCCUCCAGGAUGGACCCACGGUAGCCUCACUGCUCCCACAUAACUUUGGUCAAUGGUUUCAGAAAAAACGCCAUCAUCUCCCUUUAUCUCCAUUUUCCUCAAUUUCUAGGGGAGGGAGGGCAGCAGCUCCUGGAUGUCAUUUGUCUCUGGGCUAUCUUGUCACUCAGUAUCAGUUUUUCCACCUUUUGAGGACUGCCCUCAUAUUAUUGAUGGGAAGC